GCGCCCGUAGCUCAGCGGAUCAGAGUAUUGGCCUCCGAAGCCAAGGGUCGUGGGUUCGAAUCCCGCCGGGCGCG
rfam:Betaproteobacteria bacterium RIFCSPLOWO2_12_FTLL_68_20 rifcsplowo2_12_scaffold_392, whole genome shotgun sequence.